UACGUAGGGGGCGAGCGUUGUCCGGAUUUAUUGGGCGUAAAGAGCUCGUAGGCGGUUUGGCAAGUCGGGUGUGAAAACUCCGGCUCAACUCGGAGACGCCACUCGAUACUGCCAUGACUCGAGUCCGGUAGGGAGUGCGGAAUUCCUGGUGUAGCGGUGAAAUGCGCAGAUAUCAGGAGGAACACCGGUGGCGAAGGCGGCACUCUGGGCCGGUACUGACGCUGAGGAGCGAAAGCGUGGGGAGCGAACAGG
rnacentral:rRNA from 1 species